AUACGUAGGGAGCGAGCGUUGUCCGGAAUUACUGGGUGUAAAGGGAGCGUAGGCGGGAAGGCAAGUUGGAUGUGAAAGCUAUCGGCUCAACCGAUAGACUGCAUUCAAAACUGUUUUUCUUGAGUGAAGUAGAGGCAGGCGGAAUUCCUAGUGUAGCGGUGAAAUGCGUAGAUAUUAGGAGGAACACCAGUGGCGAAGGCGACUUGCUGGACAUUAACUGACGCUGAGGCGCGAAAGCGUGGGGAGC
rnacentral:rRNA from 1 species